rnacentral:tRNA from 1 species
AGGGGCAUAGUUCAAUGGUAGAGCAACGGUCUCCAAAACCGCCGAUCUGGGUUCGAGUCCUAGUGCCCCUGCCA